CCCUACGGGGCGCAGCAGGCGCGAAAACUUUACACUGCGCGAAAGCGCGAUAAGGGGACCUCGAGUGCGUGCGCAAUGCGUACGCUUUUCAGAUGCCUAAAAAGCAUCUGGAAUAAGGGCCGGGCAAGACCGGUGCCAGCCGCCGCGGUAACACCGGCGGCUCAAGUGGUGGCCGCUAUUAUUGGGCUUAAAGGGUCCGUAGCCGGACCAGUUAGUCCCUUGGGAAAUCUUACGGCUUAACCGUAAGGCUGCCAAUGGAUACUGCUGGUCUUGGGACCGGGAGAGGUAAGAGGUACCUUAGGGGUAGGAGUGAAAUCCUGUAAUCC
rnacentral:rRNA from 1 species